rnacentral:ncRNA from 1 species
ACACUGGGGGAGCCGCAGCGGCGGCUGAGAGGAGGCCUGGGCCUCGACCCCUCGAACCUGAACCGGAUCAUGCCGGCGUAGGAAAGUGG